rnacentral:rRNA from 1 species
CGUUGUUCGGAUUCACUGGGCGUAAAGGGUGCGUAGGUGGUGGAUUAAGUCGGGUGUGAAAUCUCCGGGCUCAACCCGGAGGGUGCGCCCGAAACUGAUCUGCUCGAGGGUGGGAGGGGAGACUGGAAUUCUCGGUGUAGCAGUGAAAUGCGUAGAUAUCGAGAGGAACACCGGUGGCGAAGGCGAGUCUCUGGACCAUUCCUGACACUGAGGCACGAAAGCCGGGGGAGCAAACAGGAUUAGAUACCCUGGUAGUCCCGGCCCUAAACGGUGCGCAUUUGCUGUGAGCGGAAUCGACCCCGCUCGUGGCGGAGCUAACGCGUUAAAUGCGCCGCCUGGGGAGUACGGCCGCAAGGUUAAAACUCAAAGAAAUUGACGGGGGCCUGCACAAGCGGUGGAGUAUGUGGCUUAAUUCGAUGCAACGCGAAGAACCUUACCUGGCCUUGACAUGCAAGUGGUAGAAGCCUGAAAGGGUGACGACUCCGCAAGGAGAGCUUGCACAGGUGCUGCAUGGCUGUCGUCAGCUUGUGUCGUGAGAUGUUGGGUUAAGUCCCGCAACGAGCGCAACCCCUGUGUCCUGUUGCCACUCCAGCGAGAGCUGGAAGCACUCUGGACAGACUGCCCCGUCCAAACGGGGAGGAAGGUGGGGAUGACGUCAAGUCAGUAUGGCCCUUACGGCCAGGGCUGCACACGUACUACAAUGCCCGGUACAAAGGGAAGCAAGGCGGCAACGCGGAGCAAAUCCCCAAAACCGGGCCCAGUUCAGAUUGUCGGCUGCAACUCGCCGGCAUGAAG